CACGCCGUAAACGUUGUGUGCCAGAUGUGGGUGGGUUCGGCCCCAUCCGUGUCCAAGCUAACGCGGUAAGCACACCGCCUGGGGACUACGGCCGCAAGGCUAAAACUCAAAGGAAUUGACGGGGGCCCGCACAAGCGGUGGAGCAUGUUGCUUAAUUCGAGGCAACGCGAAGAACCUUACCCAGGUUUGACAUGCUUUCGACCGGCGUUGAAAGACGCCUUUCCUUCGGGACGGAAGCACAGAUGC
rnacentral:rRNA from 1 species